CAAAGCAUCUAUUGGGUAUUAAUUGACUUCUGGAUCAUAUAUUGAGCUGAUUUGUCAGAAUCCAUUAAGACAAUAGACAGUAUGACAUUUCAAGUGCACGUUGGAAGUCUGUGUGAUGGUUGAAGUGGAAGGUCAGGGCCAUCUCAGCUAAUGUUAAUCAAUGACCAGAGGCUGCCGUGUCACCCUUGGGCGUUCUUGCUCAUUUUAAUUGUUAACCUAAUGUAAAGGUUCAUCAGCACACAUUAGUAGUGUUUGCACAUGUGAGAACUCAGUUUACUGAGUAAAUACUCCCCUGCUGGCCUCCUCUUCUCUCUUCAGGUCGCUGCUCCCUUGCUGCCACGUCUUCUUCAUGUACCAAGGCCUGUCCCAACAGAGGCCAAAGGGGUUUGUCUUUUCUGAAAACUCACCUCUGCCCCUUCUUCUGUAGCCACACUAGAGGCUGCUCCGUGGGCCAUACAAAGGUGACUCUGGCCAUAAAGAGCAGAAAGUACAAGCCUACCUGUGGGCUGGCUUCCCCAGCUUUUCUGUGUAAGCGUGGCCCUUUGCAAGGCAGACUUGGCCCUGGGAUGUGAGGUGCAGCAUCCUGGAUGGGGUGGAUGGAGAUGCUGUUCUCCUCUGGUGUCAGUUUGUGACAUGUCCCAUCAACUCUGCAAGAUCCAGCUGAGCCUUCAAUUUGAACCAGUGACCGUCUGGAGACAGAACAGGGGCAAGAACAGACUGUGCUGGGAGAGAGUGAACCUAAAGUUCAGAUUUGUUCCUUGAAGCAAAAGUAAAGGACAAACCCCCAUAGCGAGCGCCGAGCCUGUACCUCUCCUUACAGCCAGUUCAUGAGCAGCCACUGGGAGCCAAGUGGGUUUCUUCCACCAGUAUUAACUAUAUAUCUAGUUAAGUACGUUGAUGACAUUUUCUUUCUGAAAAUCAUUAUGAAGUAGUGUUCAAAGUCAGCGCAGCUCAGCAGUAAAACCUCACUCGAAUGCUUGAAGACAAUUGGUUUUGCUUUUUUUGGUACAAACAUUUUGUAAGCUUCUUUUGUUGGGCUAUGUUUAUAUUCCUCUACCUCACAGAUUGGCCCCUUGUGCCAUACAAAGCCCCUUAAAUACUUUAAGUCAUUAUCACACAUUGGCCUUCCAUAGCCAAGUAUACACAGGUGAUGUGUUUAUACUGAGGGUCGCCUCAAGAUCUCCUGAUGAUGCCAAGGGCAGGCUUGAGCCCAGCCUCCUAGGCUGCUAGAGCGGAUGGUCCCCACGCUGACCCCUGUGCAUGGACUCUGCUCUCCAGACUCUCCUCUCUGGCAAGGCGUCGCUGGCUUUGGGGCAGCUGACUGCAGGUACUAAUGUCCCUCUGGCUGUCCUUGCCUCAUCUCUGCAUUGCUGUGACACCUGCCCUCCUGGCUUCAGCCCUCCUUGCCAGGAGGCUGAUCUCCUUUUUCCUGUUUCCCAGGUUACGGUCCCUCAGCCUCUGCUCCACUAGUUCAUUUCAUGACCCACCGAGAGCCCAGACUGUGGACACUGUCUUACCAAGCGCUGUGCGCAUAGCCUUCCUGGGCCUCCGCUGCCAGCACUAGCCCUGCCUGAAGGACACUUUGUGAAACGUUGGCUUCAGAUGUUCGGUGGAGUCUGCCUCACCCUUGCCUGCCUUCUCCAUUCAGGAACUGGCAGUG
rnacentral:lncRNA from 1 species